rnacentral:rRNA from 1 species
AGAGUUUGAUCCUGGCUCAGAUUGAACGCUGGCGGUAUGCUUAACACAUGCAAGUCGAACGGUAGCAGGCCUUCGGGCGCUGACGAGUGGCGGACGGGUGAGUAAUGCAUAGGAAUCUGCCGAUUAGUGGGGGAUAACGUGGGGAAACUCACGCUAAUACCGCAUACGCCCUACGGGGGAAAGCUGGGGAUCUUCGGACCUGGCGCUAAUCGAUGAGCCUAUGUUGGAUUAGCUAGUUGGUAGGGUAAAGGCCUACCAAGGCGACGAUCCAUAGCUGGUCUGAGAGGAUGAUCAGCCACACUGGGACUGAGACACGGCCCAGACUCCUACGGGAGGCAGCAGUGGGGAAUAUUGGACAAUGGGCGAAAGCCUGAUCCAGCAAUACCGCGUGUGUGAAGAAGGCCUGAGGGUUGUAAAGCACUUUCAAUAGGAAGGAAUACCUACCGGUUAAUACCCGGUAGACUGACAUACCCA